AGAAGUCAACUACUCCUGACAUUUGGAUUUAUUGUCUUCAAACUACAAACUUCAGAAGGUGGCUGUUGGACAAUGAUGUAGGCUUUACAAUCUACCUCAUCAACACACCCAGAAAGAAGAGGCUGCCAGAGUGAACAUGACUGAGGGGCACAGCGAGGCCAGCAUGGCAUCUUUUGUGGGUUCUGCACGCAGCUAGGAUGAAAUACAAUUAAAACCCAAAGCUCGAGCAGCCUCAGAGGACGAGCAGCUGGUUGGCUUUGGCUGUGGACCAGAGAGCAGCUGGAGGGAGGUGUGGGACAGGAGGGCUGACGGCUACGCUGCCUUCAUCAUGAGAACUAAGUGUUUUCAGGGACUCAGAUGUACAGACUGCAGCAGUAGCUGAUAAGGAAACAGUCGGCCUCUGUCUCCUCUUCAUCAGUUCCUGCCUCAAGUGCACCUGAUGAAGACACCAGUAGGUCUUCUUCAUCACAUUGAUGGAUGAUGACGAUGAGGAGCUGGAGAGAGCGAUGAAGAGCAUAUCACCCACCAAGGAACUGGCACAGUGUUUCCCACCGUGCCGACAGUGAAGAGACCUGUAACCAUUCCUCCUGAGCUGCAGGUUCUGGUGACAGAGGUUGCUCAUCCCAACAAACUGAGUUCUUUCAGCGUGAACUUCAGCUAACCGAGCGCAGAGUGGAAGACAGAGCGGAAAAGAAGAGGAAACUGCCGGACCCUCAGCCUCGAGGAACAAUGUGUCGUUUCUGUCACACAGAGCUGAAGCAGGGUCCAACCAGCAGACACACACACACACACACACACACACACACACACAGGAUUCCCGGGAGGAAAACACAUUCACUGUCCAGCUAAGGUCCUUGCGUCAUAAAUACAUGACAAAGGAAAUGAAGUGGAAAGAAUUUGAGGCCUCACCGUUCUAUGCGAUGGAGAAAGAGAGGGUGGACGGCAGAAAGAAAAAGAUAGCUGAGGUCAUACAUUAUCCAUCUGUUGUUCUGUUCUUCACAUUUUGUCCCAAAGGUCCAGUGUCUAACAUUUCAUUCUUUAUUUAUUAUUACAGGGUUCCCGCGGGUCCAUAAAAAGUCUUAUAUUGUCUUAAAUUGACUGUAAAGUUGCUGUAGGUAUUACAUUUUCAGCCGGUGCACUUAAUGACGAUGGGAAAGCACAGUGGCCCACCGUAAAACAUCUAAUAGUUGAUUAAUUUAGUAUUGUGUCAAAUGAGAGUCUCCACGAUUAAUAGCUGUUUUACGGUACGUCGGCUACAGACGCUGACGUAGAGCUGCGUGCCACCAUUACGCAGUUGUCGAGGUGAGGUUUAACAUGCAAAGAAGAUGGGGAAGUGCAAAUUUAACGACAAGUGGAUGGAAGAGGAUGUAUUUAGGAGGUG